AUCUAGCUGACGAGUUCCAAACAGGACGAAACACGCGUCCUGGAU
rnacentral:hammerhead_ribozyme from 1 species